GGUCUGUUAGGUUAGUUGGUCAGAGCGUGAUACUAAUAAUCCAAGGUCACAGGUUUGACUCCUUUGUGGACCA